rnacentral:rRNA from 1 species
GACGAACCGAGCAAACGUUAUUCGGAAUCACUGGGCUUAAAGGGCGCGUAGGCGGGCAUCCAAGUCCGUGGUGAAAUCCGGCAGCUUAACUGUCGAACUGCCGCGGAUACUGGGUGCCUCGAGGGAGGUAGGGGCGUGCGGAACUAUUGGUGGAGCGGUGAAAUGCGUUGAUAUCAAUAGGAACUCCGGUGGCGAAGGCGGCACGCUGGACCUCUUCUGACGCUGAGGCGCGAAAGCCAGGGGAGCAAACGGG